ACCGAGAUUCCCCCAGUAGCGGCGAGCGAACGGGGAGCAGCCCAGAGUCUGAAUCAGCUUGUGUGUUAGUGGAACGGUCUGGAAAGUCCGACGGUACAGGGUGAUAGUCCCGUACACCAAAAUGCACAGGUUGUGAACUCGAAGAGUAGGGCGGGACACGUGGUAUCCUGUCUGAAUAUGGGGGACCAUCCUCCAAGGCUAAAUACUCCUGACUGACCGAUAGUGAACCAGUACCGUGAGGGAAAGGCGAAAAGACCCGGCGAGGGGAGUGAAAAGAACCUGAAACCGUGUAC
rnacentral:rRNA from 1 species